AGAGUUUGAUCCUGGCUCAGAAUCAACGCUGGCGGCGCGCCUAACACAUGCAAGUCGAACGAGAAAGCAGGAGCAAUCUUGUGAGUAAAGUGGCGUACGGGUGAGUAACACGUGGAUUAUCUACCUCUUUGUGGGGGAUAACCCUGGGAAACCGGGGCUAAUACCGCAUAAGUCCGAGAGGAGAAAGCAGCAAUGCGCAGAGAGAGGAGUCCGCGGCCGAUUAGUUAGUUGGCAGGGUAAAAGCCUACCAAGACAAAGAUCGGUAGCCGGCCUGAGAGGGCACACGGCCACACUGGCACUGAAACACGGGCCAGACUCCUACGGGAGGCAGCAGUGGGGAAUCUUGCACAAUGGGGGCAACCCUGAUGCAGCGACGCCGCGUGAGCGAUGAAGCCCUUCGGGGUGUAAAGCUCUUUCGGCAGGGAAGAUUAUGACGGUACCUGCAGAAGCAGCUGCGGCUAACUACGUGCCAGCAGCCGCGGUAAUACGUAGGCAGCGAGCGUUGUUCGGAGUUACUGGGCGUAAAGGGUGUGUAGGCGGUUUUCUAAGUCUGGUGUGAAAUCUCCCGGCUCAACUGGGAGGGUGCGCCGAAAACUGGAAGGCUAGAGUGCGGGAUGGGUAAGUGGAAUUCCUGGUGUAGCGGUGAAAUGCGUAGAUAUCAGGAGGAACACCUGUGGUGUAGACGGCUUACUGGACCGCAACUGACGCUGAAACACGAAAGCGUGGGUAGCAAACAGGAUUAGAUACCCUAGUAGUCC
rnacentral:rRNA from 1 species